rnacentral:rRNA from 1 species
CCUACGGGAGGCAGCAGUGAGGAAUAUUGGUCAAUGGACGAGAGUCUGAACCAGCCAAGUAGCGUGAAGGAUGACUGCCCUAUGGGUUGUAAACUUCUUUUAUAUGGGAAUAAAAUGUUCCACGUGUGGGAUUUUGUAUGUACCAUAUGAAUAAGGAUCGGCUAACUCCGUGCCAGCAGCCGCGGUAAUACGGAGGAUCCGAGCGUUAUCCGGAUUUAUUGGGUUUAAAGGGAGCGUAGGUGGAUUGUUAAGUCAGUUGUGAAAGUUUGCGGCUCAACCGUAAAAUUGCAGUUGAAACUGGCAGUCUUGAGUACAGUAGAGGUUGGCGGAAUUCGUGGUGUAGCGGUGAAAUGCUUAGAUAUCACGAAGAACUCCGAUUGCGAAGGCAGUUCACUGGACUGCAACUGACACUGAGGCUCGAAAGUGUGGGUAUCAAACAGGAUUAGAUACCUGAGUAGUC